rnacentral:rRNA from 1 species
AGAGUUUGAUCAUGGCUCAGGACGAACGCUGGCGGCGUGCUUAACACAUGCAAGUCGAACGGAAAGGCCCUUCGGGGUACACGAGUGGCGAACGGGUGAGUAACACGUGGGUAAUCUGCCCUGCACAUCGGGAUAAGCCUGGGAAACUGGGUCUAAUACCGAAUAGGACCACAGGACACAUGUCCUGUGGUGGAAAGCUUUUGCGGUGUGGGAUGGGCCCGCGGCCUAUCAGCUUGUUGGUGGGGUGAUGGCCUACCAAGGCGACGACGGGUAGCCGGCCUGAGAGGGUGUCCGGCCACACUGGGACUGAGAUACGGCCCAGACUCCUACGGGAGGCAGCAGUGGGGAAUAUUGCACAAUGGGCGAAAGCCUGAUGCAGCGACGCCGCGUGGGGGAUGACGGCCUUCGGGUUGUAAACCUCUUUCAGUAGGGACGAAGCGAAAGUGACGGUACCUACAGAAGAAGGACCGGCCAACUACGUGCCAGCAGCCGCGGUAAUACGUAGGGUCCGAGCGUUGUCCGGAAUUACUGGGCGUAAAGAGCUCGUAGGUGGUUUGUCGCGUUGUUCGUGAAAACUCACAGCUUAACUGUGGGCGUGCGGGCGAUACGGGCAGACUAGAGUACUGCAGGGGAGACUGGAAUUCCUGGUGUAGCGGUGGAAUGCGCAGAUAUCAGGAGGAACACCGGUGGCGAAGGCGGGUCUCUGGGCAGUAACUGACGCUGAGGAGCGAAAGCGUGGGUAGCGAACAGGAUUAGAUACCCUGGUAGUCCAA